rnacentral:rRNA from 1 species
CACGUAGGGCGCAAGCGUUGUCCGGAAUUAUUGGGCGUAAAGGGUGCGUAGGCGGCGCGGUAAGUCGGGUGUGAAAUCUCGGGGCUUAACUCCGAAACUGCAUUCGAUACUGCCGUGCUUGAGGACUGGAGAGGAGACUGGAAUUUACGGUGUAGCGGUGAAAUGCGUAGAUAUCGUAAGGAAGACCAGUGGCGAAGGCGGGUCUCUGGACAGUUCCUGACGCUGAGGCACGAAGGUCAGGGGAGCAAACGGG